ACCGGGAGUUAAUUUAAAUAGUCUGGUAACGUUAUUGAAGUAUCAUGCUAAAAGCUGAACUCUUUAUUUUCGUUUAAUUCAUGCUGUUGUGAAGCGGGGGGUUUGAAGCUACAUCUGAGCGGGUUCAAAGUUAACGGGCAGUCAUGUUAGCGUGCUAAAAAUGAUUACCUGCCGUUUUUGCAGGUUAACGGUUACGGCUCAGGGCGCGGCCAAGUCUGUCUCAAGUCUGCCUGCCACGGAGCUGUGUGCACAUGAGCGCAGGAUCACAUCUGUAGCACUGGACGAUCAUGCUAUUCUUCAAGGCGAUUCAUGCUGAGUGUGGAUCGAAACAUAGUACAGGACAACAUCCCCUCCUUGGUUUCUGCCCUGUCCAUGAUGUUUGGGAGCUAUUAUUGCUUCAACAUCGCCUACCCGUCAGAGCUGGCAUCCACCCUGGAGUUUGUCCAGAGGUGUUUUUUCUCCAUCAACCCAGAGAAGGCACCAAAG